UGGGUAAUCUUGUGAAACUUCAUCGUGAUGGGGAUAGAGCAUUGCAACUAUUGCUCUUCAACGAGGAAUCCCUAGUAAGCGUGAGUCAUCAGCUCACGUUGAUUACGUCCCUGCCCUUUGUACACACCGCCCGUCGCUACUACCGAUUGAAUGGCUUAGUGAGACCCUCGGAUCGAUGCGUGGAAACCUUCACGGGUAUCUACUUGUUGAGAAGUUGGUCAAACUUGGUCAUUUAGAGGAAGUAAAAGUCGUAACAAGGUUUCCGUAGGUGAACCUGCGGAAGGAUCAUU
rnacentral:rRNA from 1 species